rnacentral:rRNA from 1 species
UGCUGCCUACGGGACGCAGCAGUGGGGGAUAUUGCACAAUGGGGGGAACCCUGAUGCAGCGACGCCGCGUGGGUGAAGAAGCGCCUCGGCGCGUAAAGCCCUGUCAGCAGGGAAGAAAAUGACGGUACCUGAAGAAGAAGCCCCGGCUAACUACGUGCCAGCAGCCGCGGUAAUACGUAGGGGGCAAGCGUUAUCCGGAUUUACUGGGCGUAAAGGGAGCGUAGACGGCAGCGCAAGUCUGGAGUGAAAUGCCGGGGCUCAACCCCGGAACUGCUUUGGAAACUGUGCAGCUAGAGUGCGUGAGG